rnacentral:rRNA from 1 species
AGCUGCAGCUGCAUGAGGUCAAAGUCUGAUCUUGUCAAAUUUCAGAAGCUAAGCAGAGUUGGGCCUGGUUAGUACUUGGAUGGGAGACUGUUGAGAAUAUUAAGUGCCACAGUGG